rnacentral:rRNA from 1 species
CAGUCGCCGCGGGAAAACGAAGGGUGCAAGCGUUACUCGGAAUUACUGGGCGUAAAGCGUGCGUAGGUGGUGGUUUAAGUCCGUUGUGAAAGCCCUGGGCUCAACCUGGGAAUUGCAGUGGAUACUGGGUCACUAGAGUGUGGUAGAGGAUAGUGGAAUUUCCGGUGUAGCAGUGAAACGCGUAGAGAUCGGAAGGAACAUCUGUGGCGAAGGCGACUAUCUGGGCCAACACUGACACUGAGGCACGAAAGCGUGGGGAGCAAACAGGAUUAGAUACCCGGGUAGUCCCUGUCUCUUAUAC